ACUAUUAUAUUAUAUACAAUAAAUAAUUCCUGCGUACAAAAACACAGCCCAUAAAUAUAAAUAAAAUGCAUGGAUGUAACAAAAUUUCAAAACCAAUAAUAAGUCAUCUCUUUUUAAUCUUUAUCUCUCUAUCUCUAACCCUAUCUGUUGUAUCUCAUGUAUGAACAGUUGAGGGGAAUGUUGUCUGGUUCGAUGUCAUUCAUUUGAAGCUCUCUUCAAUAUCAAAAACUUUAUAGUUUAUAUUAACUGAAUGAUUUCGGACCAGGCUUCAUUCCCCCCAACUACCUUUUUUUAUUUACAUGUAUUCUACUAAAUAUUACUCCUGUUCAGUCGCGGAGGUACUCACAGGCGGAUUCAUAUGCCCGUCCUAGUUGGAUUUGGUCCGAACGGAAUUUUAUUUAGAGAAAAUUUACAAUUUUAAUUCCGCUCUGUUGCAGGAGCUUUUCUUUUGUGGUGGUUUGAUAGAAACAUUAAGCAAUUAUAAAUAUUUCAACCGCCAGAACUGGCGGCCGGCUGGCUGGCCUCGUGUAAAUCGACUCGUUGAUCGUUCAUGUUUCAGAGACGAACCAAGAUAAGGUUGCUUGCCAGUUAUCACGGGAAAAGCAAGCAGUUUAUGAUUUUGAGCGAGUCAGCUGGUCUUCGAUUCUUUAUUUUUUUCUCGGAGGUUUUUCUUUAUUUUUAAUAAAAAUGUCAAACUGAUUUCAUUCUUAGACUGCAGUAGUAACUAGAAGUCUUUAUUUUUCUAGUUUGUUGUCGGAUUGGCCCGACAUGGUUUAUUGUUGCUUUGGCAUUAUUAUGUUAACUCGGGUUAUUUAUUAUUUAUGCCAUGUUGGAGUCUCGGAAUUGGCCGAGCAUUAUUAUUUAA